UGAGGAAUUUUCCGCAAUGGGCGAAAGCCUGACGGAGCAAUACCGCGUGAAGGAUGAAGGUCCGUGGAUCGUAAACUUCUUUUCUCGGGGAAGAAAUUAAUGACGGUACCCGAGGAAUAAGCACCGGCUAACUCUGUGCCAGCAGCCGCGGUAAUACAGAGGGUGCAAGCGUUAUCCGGAAUGAUUGGGCGUAAAGCGUUUGUAGGUUGCUUGAGAAGUCUACUGUCAAAUCCCAGAGCUCAACUUUGGACAGGCAGUGGAGCACUCUUAGGCUAGAGUACGGUAGGGGUAGAGGGAAUUCCCGGUGGAGCGGUGAAAUGCACAGAGAUCGGGAAGAACACCAGUGGCGAAAGCGCUCUACUAGGCCGUGACUGACACUGAGAGACGAUAGCUAGGGGAGCGAAUGGG
rnacentral:rRNA from 1 species